GAGGGUGUGGUUCAGUGGUAGAGCACGUGCUUGGCAUGCAUGAGGCCCGGUUCAAUCCCCAACACCUCCC
rnacentral:tRNA from 1 species